rnacentral:lncRNA from 1 species
CGGGCGGCUUGGGGCCAGGGUGUCGGGAGGCUGUCACCUGAGGCAGCCUGACGACGGUUGGUUGCCACGGGUCACGUGCCAGCGACCGGGAAUCCUCUGGAAUGCUACAAGCGGCCCACGUGUGUUGUACAGGCCUGGACCAGGCUGUCAGUCCGUCUGUCUGGACUCUCAGCUCAGGACCACAUCCCUGAGGAUCAAGAAGAAAGUCGCCGAGGCAAGCACACUACAGGAUGGCAUAGCCCAGGAUUUAAAAUAUUGGUUGCAUUACCCAAUUUGGUGA